CGACAUGGCGGCGGGAAGCCGGGCUGAGCUCGGAGCCCGGGAGAGGCCCUGGCCCUGGAGUCCACCGGAGUCCAAGAGACCUCUUUGAGCUGACAGCUCCUGCAAGGGGCUGAGCUUAGGAUCCGCGGGAGGCCAAGGGAAGGAAAACACCACCCAAAUAAGGGAAGGACCCAGAGUUACAAGGUUAAUGAGCCUUAAUGACAAAGAGUCCUGGCGUCCUAGUUCCCAGGCCUGGCCAUUUGGAAUCAUGAAAAAGUGAUCUUGCCUUAAGUUCUCCCAAGAUAUCAGCUUUGCAG